rnacentral:rRNA from 1 species
GAGGAUCAAAGGCGAUCAGAUACCGCCCUAGUUCUAACCAUAAACGAUGCCAGCCAGCGAUCCGGCUGUGUUCCUCAAAUGACACGCCGGGCAGCUUCCGGGAAACCAAAGCUUUUGGGUUCCGGGGGAAGUAUGGUUGCAAAGCUGAAACUUAAAGGAAUUGACGGAAGGGCACACCACAAAUGGAGCCUGCGGCUUAAUUUGACUCAACACGGGAUAGCCUACCUGGCCCGGACACAGGAAGGAUUGACAGAUUAAGAGCUCUUUCUUGAUUCUGUGGGUUGUGGUGCAUGGUCGUUCUUAGUUGGUGGAGCGAUUUGUCUGGUUUAUUCCGAUAACGAACGAGACUCUAGCCUACUAAAUAGACGCUUCCGAUCCUUGUAGUCGGACGUUCUUCUUAGAGGGACAAGCGGUGUUUAGCCGCACGAGACAGAGCAAUAACAGGUCUGUAAUGCCCAUANAUGUUCGGGGCUGCACGCGCGCUACAAUGAAGGAAUCAGCGUGUGUUUUCCCUGUCCGACAGGACUGGGUAACCCGUUGAAACUCCUUCGUGCUGGGGAUAGGGAAUUGCAAUUGUCUUCCUUGAACCAGGAAUUCCCCGUAAGCGGUUGUCAUAAGCAAGCGUUGAUUACGUCCCUGCCCUUUGUGCACACCGCCCGUCGCUUUUACCGAUUGAAUGAUUUAGUGAGGUCUUCGGACUGGCGCUCGGAUUGGCCUUUCGGGUCGAGCCGAAGUGCCGGAAAGAUGACCAAACUUGGUCAUUUAGAGGAAAUAAAAGUCGUAACAAGGUUUCG